GUACUAGAGAUUGGCAUCAGGGGCACUUUACCACUGAGCUAUACCCCCAGUCAUUUUUUUUUUUAAUUUCUGUAUGAGGGUUUGAACCCAGGGGUGCUUAACUACAUCCCCAGCCCUGUUUGUUUAUUUAUUUAUUUUUGGUGCCAAAACCUGGGAACAAAUUAUUUUUUAUUUUGAGACAGUUGCUUAGGGCCUCUCUGAGUGGCUGAGGCUGGCCUUGAACUUGCAAUGCUCCUGCCUCAGCCUCCUAAGCCACUGCAAUUAUAGGCAUCCAACAUUUUUUAUUUUUUAAUUUUAAGACAGGAUCUCGCUAAAUUGCUAAGACUGGCCUCACUUGCAAUCCUCCUACUUCAUCCUCCACAGUUGCUGGGAUUACAGGGGUGUGCCAUCACACCCAGCAAGAAGGGGAUCUCUUGGGAGGACUUAUGGUUUAGCCCCACCAUCUAGGGAAGGUCUAUGUGGAAAAAAAUCUCUAUGAACUUGGGAGGCCUGGUGGACCUCUGCUUUCUGAACAUUAAGCCAAGACCUGCCACCUGGCACAGGAUGUCUGUGCCACCAAGGAGAAUGCUGGUUCAGAUGGCAAGGGGCUGGGUGAGCUGAAACAAGACAGGCACUUCUGGGGACAGCAUAGCCCUAAAUCCAGGAAGAGCAAGUAUCUGAAUGACAGGUGGUCUUGGUCCUUGUCAGGGACUAGAAGGAAAUUCUCCUUCAAAGAUUAGCCUGACAGCCCCCUGGGAGACAUCCUGCCUGGGAGGCAUCCUGCAGCUACCUAUCAGACAUCUUGCACCUGGCAGUUUUACCACCCACAUCCAGCAGUUGUUGAUUAGAGAGCUUCCCCAUCCCCAGCAUAUAAAUACCCCUGUGUGAA
rnacentral:lncRNA from 1 species